rnacentral:tRNA from 2 species
GCCAGUGUAGCUCAGUGGUAGAGCAGCUGUUUCGUAAACAGCAGGUCGGUGGUUCAAUCCCACUCACUGGCUCCA